rnacentral:tRNA from 1 species
UCCCUGGUGGUCCAGUGGUUAGGAUACGGCACUCGCACUGCCGUGGCCUGUGUCCAAUUCCAGUCAGGGAA